rnacentral:rRNA from 1 species
GAUGAACGCUGGCGGCGUGCCUAAUACAUGCAAGUCGAGCGAACGGACGAGAAGCUUGCUUCUCUGAUGUUAGCGGCGGACGGGUGAGUAAAACGUGGAUAACCUACCUAUAAGACUGGGAUAACUUCGGGAAACCGGAGCUAAUACCGGAUAAUAUUUUGAACCGCAUGGUUCAAAAGUGAAAGACGGUCUUGCUGUCACUUAUAGAUGGAUCCGCGCUGCAUUAGCUAGUUGGUAAGGUAACGGCUUACCAAGGCAACGAUGCAUAGCCGACCUGAGAGGGUGAUCGGCCACACUGGAACUGAGACACGGUCCAGACUCCUACGGGAGGCAGCAGUAGGGAAUCUUCGGCAAUGGGCGAAAGCCUGACGGAGCAACGCAGCGUGAGUGAUGAAGGUCUUCGGAUCGUAAAACUCUGUUAUUAGGGAAGAACAUAUGUGUAAGUAACUGUGCACAUCUUGACGGUACCUAAUCAGAAAGCCACGGCUAACUACGUG